UAAAUUCUAUCUCAACUUUCAAAGAGUCUUCGUUGUCCAAAUAUAACUUUCGAAGAUUAGCUAAAGAUACUAAGAGCACGUUUAACGGCAUGUCUUAGCCGCGCCUCUUAGCAUAAUUAAUUAAAAAAAUUUAAGAAAGAUGGAAUUAAAGCGAAGGCACGUCCCCUAAUUAAGUGCACGAAGUCGCGCCUUUUAGGGCGACGUGUCGCUACGCUAUUGGACAGAGGAACGGUGGAGUCGAGAUUCUUUCUUUCUUUCUUUCCUUUCUCUUCUCGUUUCCUCUCCUCCUCGGCGACAACGGCGAUUCCGAAAGUCGUCUCCGUGGAUCUCGUCGACGUCUCUGUUGGUUUCUAUCGUCGACGGUCGAUCUCGUCGACGUCUCUAUCGGUUUUUAUCUCCCUCUCGGUGGUUCUCGUCGAAGGAAACGACGAAUUCUCUCCCUGUCGGUGGAUCUCGUCGAAGUAACCGGCGAUUUCUCUCCCUCUCGGUGGAUCUCGUCGAAGGAAACAACGAUUGCUCUCCCUAUCGGUGGCUCUCGUCGAGGAUGGAAGACGGUGACCUCUCAAUCAGUGGCUGUCUUCGAGGAAGCAAAAUGGCUCUGUCUCUCUCGUGGUGGCUCUCUGAGACGAAGACAAACGGCGAUUGUUUCUCAAGGGAAUCCAAAGGUAAAGCGUCUCUUUGCUUAUUUCAACUAUGCUUGUCUUUGAUUCUUGUUCGUGAACCGUAAGAAAUGGAAAAACUCUAAUAUUUUUAAUUUUUUUUCUGUCUUUGUGUCGUUACAUGGAUGGAUCAAGAGGCAUGAUCCAGAAUUGAUCAAGAGGCAUGAAGUGGGCACAAAACCUGUCUCUUUGUCAGACAAAACCGCCACGAUUGUAAAGGUAAAUCUUUUCUCAUUGAUCUUUGUAAUUGGAUAAACGUUUCUAGUUAGAAAUGUGAAUGAGAUUUAUGCUGUGAAUGUUGAUGAUUUUAAUUCUAGGUUGCAAUGAUUUUAGAACUAGAUAAACCUCUGUCUUUGCUCGGUAAUUGCCGGAUCGGAUCUAGUAAGCAAUGAAUUUAGAACUGGAUGAAGCAAUGUUUAUUUGGUCAAUGAUGUUUUGAAUGGAUUGUAACCAGUUUAGUCAAGUUGUUAACGAAUUUACUCUAGUUUGAAAUGAAACUGAAUUGUUGUUUUGUGUUAGGUUAGGUAAUAAAUGGAGUGGUUAUUGUGAGAUAAUGGUUAGCUUAGGUAAUAAAUACAAUAUUGUUGUGUGAUGAAUGGUCGUAGUUAUAUGUCAACUCGUUUAUGGUUGGGUGUGUGUGAUCAAUGCUUGAGCCUUCUCUUCUUUUCUUUAUCUCUUCCUUCUCACCUUUCUUAUUUUCUUUAUCAACGUCCUUGUUGAAAACGAGUUCUGUGGUGCGUAUGAAGCUGCUACCAGAGAGAAAGCUAGCGGCCAGAACGAGAAUGAUGUUGUGAAACUUGCUCAUACAAUAUUCUACAACAACUACAAGAAGAAAUUUACUUUGGAACACGCUUGGAAUGAACUACGCAACAACCAGAAGUGGUGCGCCCUUAUGACUGCUAAAAAGGAUGUAAGCUCGAAGAAGAGGAAGUGUGAGGAUGGAGCUGAUUCAGAGACCUCUCAAGCAACAGAGAACAAACGUCCCCCGGGUGUGAAAAAGUGGUAAGAAGAAGGUGGUAGACGAGAAAAAUCUGGAUGAGUUUGAGACAAUGUGGAGGAUCAAACAGCAGGAUUUGGCCGCUAAAGAGAAGCUAUCUAAGAUGAAUAUGCUUCAAAGUCUUUUAGGAAAAAAAGAACCUCUUGCUGACUAUGAAGAAUCACUCAAGAAGAAGCUCAUAAAUGACUUGUUCUAAAUUAGGUUAUUGUUCUUGUGAUGCAGAGUGGAGAGUUCAGGUCUUGUGGUCGAGGAAAUCCGUGUAUCUCACGAGUCUUGUAGUGUUGUGUCACAAGUCUCUUGUACUCUUGUGUCACGAGUCUAGUUCUGUUGUGUCCGUGUAUCUCAAGUCUUGUAUCUUGUAGUGUUUUGUCUCAAGUCUUGUAGUUUUGUUUGUCCGAGUCUUGUAGUGUUUUGUCACAAGUCACAGAAUGUUGUAAGUCUUGUAGUGUUGUGUCAUGAGUCGAGUCUUGUUCUCUAUAUAACAUUAGCUUCUGCA